rnacentral:rRNA from 1 species
UUUUCCCCAAUGGGCGCAAGCCUGAGGGAGCAACGCCGCGUGCAGGACGACGGCCUUCGGGUUGUAAACUGCUUUUGGGGGGGAAGAUCCUGACGGUACCCCCUGAAUAAGCCCCGGCUAACUCCGUGCCAGCAGCCGCGGUAAGACGGAGGGGGCAAGCGUUGUCCGGAAUCACUGGGCGUAAAGCGCGCGUAGGUGGCUCGUUGCGUCGGUGCUGAAAGCGCCGGGCUUAACCCGGCGAGGCGUGCCGAUACGAAUGGGCUCGAGGCAGGGAGAGGGUGGCGGAAUUCCGGGUGUAGUGGUGAAAUGCGUAGAGAUCCGGAGGAACGCCGGUGGUGAAGACGGCCACCUGGCCCUGUCCUGACACUGAGGCGCGAUAGCGUGGGGAGCGAACCGG